ACCCAGAAAUCUCUCCUUCGCGCUCCGGCAGGCGCAGGGUCUGCCUUGAACUACAGUUCCCAGAAGGCCACUGGAGAAGGGCUUCCCCCACUUUCCCGGGACCGCAAUUCCCGGAGACUUGGUUUCGCGGCUUUUCUCUCUGUGUUGGGUCUCUCUUGGACCCGGAUAGGUCUUGACUGGCCAGCAGGCCCACAGCGACAACGUGCUCCGUCGUGUCCAGUCGCAGGGUGUACUCUUUGGCCGGGCUUUCUGUCUCUUUAGCUACUUUUGCCGGACAGGCCGUCGCAGCUGGCCUGAGCAGUGACCUGGCGGGCCGCGCCUGCGCCCUGCCGCGUUUCCUGCCUGGCUGGUGGUGGCGGCCAUUUUGUUCAUCCUCCUCCUCCUCCUGCUCCUCCUGGUUGGAGCGCAGUGUCCGGAGCGGGCUGGGGGGAGCGGACCCGAGAGCGGGGUUCAGUACCUUUUCCUCUGUCCCCAGCCGGCGCCCGGAGCCCCCCUCCCCUUCCUUCCCGCCCCCUCCCCUCCCCAGCCCUGCCCUCCCCCUUGUCCCGGGAUCACUCCGUCGCACCCACCAUGAUGGAAGACGACGGACAGCCCCGGACUCUAUACGUAGGUAACCUCUCCAGAGAUGUGACAGAAGUCCUUAUUCUUCAGUUAUUCAGUCAGAUCGGACCCUGUAAAAGCUGUAAAAUGAUAACAGAGCAACCCGAUAGCAGAAGGGUCAACUCUUCUGUUGGAUUUUCUGUUUUGCAGCAUACAAGCAAUGACCCAUAUUGCUUUGUGGAAUUUUAUGAACACAGAGAUGCAGCUGCUGCAUUAGCUGCUAUGAAUGGGAGAAAAAUUUUGGGAAAGGAGGUCAAAGUAAACUGGGCAACAACACCAAGUAGCCAGAAAAAAGAUACUUCCAAUCACUUCCAUGUGUUUGUUGGGGAUUUGAGUCCAGAAAUUACAACAGAAGAUAUCAAAUCAGCAUUUGCCCCCUUUGGUAAAAUAUCGGAUGCCCGGGUAGUUAAAGACAUGGCAACUGGAAAGUCCAAAGGCUAUGGUUUUGUAUCUUUUUAUAACAAACUGGAUGCAGAGAAUGCAAUUGUGCAUAUGGGGGGUCAGUGGUUGGGAGGUCGACAAAUCAGAACCAAUUGGGCCACACGUAAACCACCUGCCCCUAAAAGUACACAAGAAACUAACACUAAGCAGUUGAGAUUUGAAGAUGUAGUAAACCAGUCAAGUCCAAAAAACUGUACUGUGUACUGUGGAGGAAUUGCUUCGGGGCUGACAGAUCAACUUAUGAGACAAACAUUUUCACCAUUUGGACAAAUUAUGGAAAUACGAGUUUUUCCAGAGAAGGGCUAUUCGUUUGUCAGAUUUUCCACUCACGAGAGUGCGGCCCACGCCAUUGUCUCUGUGAACGGCACUACAAUCGAAGGACAUGUGGUGAAAUGCUAUUGGGGUAAAGAAUCUCCUGAUAUGACUAAAAACUUCCAACAGGUAAUUCAAUUUUUCUUAGCAUCUUUUAAGGUUUCCAUCUUACAUACCUACAUAGGAGCUUUGGGAAUUAUAAAAUAAACAGUAAAAUAAAGCAUAUAGCUGCUUUCAGUUGAUUGUGUAAAAUGCUAUUUCAAAAUUGUUUUAUGGUAUUAACUGAAUCUUAAUACUUUCUUUUUACAGGUGUCACCACCCCAAUAAACUUAGACAGUGAUAGAUAACAGAGUCCUAUUCACAGAAGGGUUGACUACAGUCAGUGGGGCCAGUGGAGCCAAGUGUAUGGAAACCCACAACAGUAUGGACAGUAUAUGGCAAAUGGGUGGCAAGUACCACCCUAUGGAGUAUAUGGGCAGCCGUGGAACCAACAAGGAUUUGGAGUAGAUCAAUCCCCUUCUGCUGCUUGGAUGGGUGGAUUUGGUGCUCAGCCUCCUCAAGGACAAGCCCCUCCCCCUGUAAUACCUCCUCCAAACCAAGCUGGGUAUGGAAUGGCAAGCUUCCCGACACAGUGAGCUGGGACUCGAAACACGAUUGUAAUUCACCACAGGCUGCAGUCUCCUGUCACACUCUGAAGACAUGAAAAGUAAACAUCGGAAAAUGAAAAUAUUUAUUUUAAAAAUUGAAAUGUUUGGAACCUUUAGCACAGCUUUGCUUGGUGAAGGACACAUGUCUUCUAGUUCUGCCUUUUUAAGUUUUUGUUCAUGAUGGAUAUGAACAUGAUUUUUCUUUGUGUACAAAAAACUAAAAUAAAGUCAAUAAAGACAAUUCUGACUAUAAAUUUUGAUAUAAUAGGAGAAAUGGGUAAUACACUUCGAUCCUUAGACACUAUUCCAUUUUUAUCUUGCUGUUCAGUAUUUUAACUCACUGUGUUUUUAAAAGAGCAAAAAAGGGAGUAUCGUGAAAAACUGAGAAUCACAUCAGUUCGUCCUGAAUCCUGAUACUCCCCUCCCGUCCCUGAGGCGGACCACAUAGAAGGCAGCAGGAGAAAGUGUGAUUUCAGAAGAAGUCCAUGAUGUGGGAGUCGCUGUGGAAGAAAUAUGUUAUUCUCUUAUGUUAAAGAAAAUGAAGCCAGACUGAAAGCGUGCAGCCUGAAUAAGGACCAGCAUCGUAGAAGGUUCUUGAACGAUUGUUGGUGGUCCAUAUUAAGACAUAUUUUUAAAACUUUAAAAGUGUUGGUUAUCAAAAAUGUAUAUUACAUUUCAUUUGGGGGAAAAUUCCAAGUAUGGUGUUUAUAUUAAAGUCAGACGGUCAUACUUGUGCUUUUACAUGGAGUUUAAAUGAUAAACAUUGUAAAUAUUGAAUAACUACAGUGUUUCAAAAGCAUGCUUCAACAUAGAAGUAGCAGCAAUGUAAUUAUUCGAGGUGACAAGUAACAUGCUCGCUGCCAGUGCAGUGCUCAGUAGCAGUGUUAACACUGAUGUCUCCACGUCUUCACGGUUGGCCAUGUAAAAGGAGAAGGACACAAAUGACUACACAGAAGAAGCCUUAAUUUAAUUUCAUACAAAUCUUUGAUGCAUUAGUAUAUUCUAAAUUGUAAGUAGAAGUUAGAUUUGGGCUUUUUUCCCCUUUCUUCCUUUCUUUCAUUUCCUUUUGUUUUGUUUUAUUUGGUACAUAAAUACCUUGAUUAAAACCCAGUGAAGUGAUUUCAGGGUUGCUAUAAGUUGUAUAGCACAAGUUUUUUUUUUGUUUUUUUUUGUUUUUUUAAGAAAUCUUGGGAUGUUUUUAAAAAUUAGUCUAUUUUGCCCAAGAAUUUUCUUAACAAGAUUGCUAAAACAUCUUACUUAGACAACCUGAUGUAUCAGUUAUAAUCUGAUAACCAAUUUGAGUCGUACACAAGUUGUGACUUUUUAUUUCUAAUUUGUUUUUUCUUUGGGAGUGUGUGGGUGACAGAUGUGAAUAGGCCUGAGUUGUAUGUGUGCAGUUUUAACUGAAUCUUUAGGAAGAUGCGGGAGUUCCAGGCAUGCUCCCCUGACAUCUUUCAGUCUAUGUGGAUACAGUCUGCCUCAUAGUUCUAUACAAUGGGAAUGUGAAAUAGAUAAAAUCCUAUGUGUUUCAAUUGUGACAACUAGGAGGUGCAAAUGUUUUGAUAGUGUGUUAAACCUGUUGGCCUGUGUAUGCACAAGAGCAAAAAACCCUAACCUAACCUUCUUGAGGUAAGAUGGGUAAGACACAUGAAGCCGUUGAAGUCUAAAGAUUAAGAUAAUGUGGUUUUUUUUAUAUUGGUGACCACAAAGAUUCUGGAGUUUAUUCCCUCCUUCACUUAGGAACACAGCCAAAUGUAUUCAGCAUAAAAAUGUACAGGGUCUGAAGUUCUUUUUUGAGCCAAAAUCUUUAUGUACUUUAGUUGGGUUUUUUUUUUUUUUUUUUUGGUUUUUAAACACAACUACCCUGUGUUAACACUCGUCAGUGACUAAAUAGACCCCUGGAGUUUUUUGAUUUGGGUGUUUUGUUUUGUUUUUGUUUUUGUUUUUGUCUUUUUGUCAUACCUUUGGGGGAUAUUUUUGGAAAAGUUAUUUUAUAUUUUAUAAGAAGAAAACAAGCUAUAUUUUGCCCUUGAGUUAAGAUUUUCAUUAAAUUUUGUGAAACUCGAACAACCUAAAGGCUUUUUAAGUUGAUAAAUUGAUAAAAGCUUACUAAAUUAAAAUUUCAGUUUCCCUUUUUUUCCUCUGCCAGUAAAUUAAGUGGCUUACUGAGAUAACUAAUGGCUAACUCUAGCUGUAGUCUUUUCUCUUUUAUAUCCUAUGAGUUAAUAAAACUAUCCAGACUAGUUACAUUGCCAUAGUAAGCAUGUGACUGACAUCUUUUGUCUUAAUUUGGAUGAGAAAAAAAAAUUUUUUUUUGGUAAGUCAGUCACAGUCAUUUCACAGCAAAUAGUUUUAAGAUAGAAAGGACAUGUGCAAAUGAAAUGCACCAUUUUAGGAAAUGAGAUGAUCAAGCUAACACAGGUCCAGACUGUCUUACAAUGCAGAUUUGAGUUUGUGCCCUCCGUCCACUUUAAGCCUAAGAACUGUUGCCUUUUCUUUCCUGUGUUCGUCAAGAACAGCAGAGAGACUCUUUGGCAUGCAAGGAAAUGUCUCUUCAUAGUUUCUUGAGAUUUAUCUUGGUGUGUUUCUGCCUGCCAUCGUCUGUGCUUGAAUCCUUUUCUACUAGCAUUUCCUCGGUGCCAGUCCGUCUGAUCUUUAUGUUUGCCGCCAGUGAGAGGCCAACUAAAGCCAAAGCUGUAAACCACAGUUGAAGUAAGUCUUUCAAUAAAGACUAGUCUAUGUAAGUGGC